rnacentral:piRNA from 1 species
UGCCCAGCACAUAAACACUGUUCAGGACAC